AGCUUUCUUGCUGGAGCUGGCAGUGGAAAGCACACAGACAAGGUCUAAUUACGUAGAAUGACUGCCAAGCAGCAGGUUAAUCACAGAAGAUAACACCCAUGGAAAAAAGGAGAUGUGCUUGUGGAGUGGAAGAGCAAGCAGAAUCAUCUGCACUAUUCAAUUUGUAAUCUUUCUUCCGUGGUUAUGUAAUUGAUUCUAAACUGUA